GACGAACGCUGGCGGCGUGCUUAACACAUGCAAGUCGAACGAAGAGCGAUGGAAGCUUGCUUCUAUCAAUCUUAGGGGCGAACGGGUGAGUAACGCGUAAUCAACCUGCCCUUCAGAGGGGGACAACAGUUGGAAACGACUGCUAAUACCGCAUACGAUCUAAUCUCGGCAUCGAGGAUAGAUGAAAGGUGGCCUCUACAUGUAAGCUAUCACUGAAGGAGGGGAUUGCGUCUGAUUAGCUAGUUGGAGGGGUAACGGCCCACCAAGGCGAUGAUCAGUAGCCGGUCUGAGAGGAUGAACGGCCACAUUGGGACUGAGACACGGCCCAGACUCCUACGGGAGGCAGCAGUGGGGAAUCUUCCGCAAUGGACGAAAGUCUGACGGAGCAACGCCGCGUGAGUGAUGACGGCCUUCGGGUUGUAAAGCUCUGUUAAUCGGGACGAAAGGCCUUCUUGCGAAUAGUGAGAAGGAUUGACGGUACCGGAAUAGAAAGCCACGGCUAACUACGUG
rnacentral:rRNA from 1 species